rnacentral:lncRNA from 1 species
GCGGGACUCAAUAUGGCGGCGCGCGCUCGGCCGCUUGACCCCGGUGUCCCCUAAAGCGGGAGGUCUUCAGCAAGGUGAGGUUCCUCUGACCAAGAAGCCGGCUGCCUAGAUGCGCUAAGCACAGCUCCCUCGCAUAUUCUGGUGUCAUGCUCCAUCAUAAGUGACUAGACAUAGUUCCAGUGCUACCCAGCAGGAUCUCAUUGCUCAUGCAUUCCAAAGGCAAGAGUCUGCAUCUCAAAAAAUCAAAUACCUGGGAAUACACCUGACCAAGGAGAUUCAGCUCAGAAAAAGCUGGUGUUCAUUUAGUGGGUUCUCUUAAUCGUCAACAUUGGAUGACCAAUAAAUCUGCUCAAUAAGUCGUCUGGCAGCAGGAGGGUCCGCCUCUUCCACUCUUGGUGACGUUUCACAUUCUGGGAACCUCCUCCCGUCACCCCACAAUGGCGUUUUGUGUCUUGAUCCCCGUGGAAGAGCCCGGCGCACACACAGCUUAGCCUCUUCAUUCCUGGAGCCGUUCUACGUAUGCGAGACUGAAGCCAGGACAGAGGUCUUCAUCCUGGGUGUGCUUAUUCUUCACACCCUUCCCGAUGGUGGAGGUGAAGGUGCUGGUGGAUGAUAUAUCAGAAGCGACACCCCGGAACAGAGACCGCCUGUGACUGGAGCCCCAUUCCUGGCUGAACUGUACUGGGAAGAGCAGACCUGAGCAAGAUCUCUGAGACUUGGCCUCUGGCUUGAAGGUUGGACCACGGUGAGACUGAGAAGGCGCUUCCUGGAGGCCCCCAUUGACUCUGAAAGUUUCCAGUCUGGAAGAAAGAGAGCAGGUCGCUGCAAGCACUGAGGAUGAAAAGCCUCUGGAAACAAGGAACCGCCAGGCUUGGUCAGUGCCCCACCUGGAGAACAAGACCAGGUAGGUGACAGAAAUGAAGGGCAUGUCUGCUGAAUGAAUGUAUAGACAAAAUCAGUCGGUGACCUUAUGGGAAAAGGAAUCUCCCAGGUUUUCCUCUGCAGCAGUUUACGGACUCGUGCUUUGGAACAGCGCUCUUCUCGCUCACCUGCAGAGAUGCAGUGUGCCGGCCGCACCUCGGCGUGGGGCCUGCUGUAACCUCCCAGACUCUGCUUGGAAAUUGGACUCUAGCCUUCAGGGGCCUGUUGUGAUGGAGACACAGGGAUGUGGGUUUACCCUAUAGCACGACACAGAUCUAGCCUUUUUGCCAUACAUCCUGGGGGUCAGUGAUCUAAAAGUGUAGGCUAUUGAUGAGAAAUGCCCCCCAAACCCUGGCAAGGGAUGGCUGUCAGCCUAGUCCAAGAACUCUGCAGAGUUGAAAACUCCAGGAGAUUUCCUACAGGAUGACGGGCUGCCUCCUUGGGUUUACCAGACCGUACAUUCCAUUCAUCCCGACAGGGACGGGGAAGGUCUUUGCAUCUCCCUGGGAUCAUAGCACACUGUUGAUUUUUCUUUUUUGAGGACCGCACAUGCGGCACAUGGAAGUUCCCAGGCUAGGGGUCUAAUCGGAGCUGUAGCCACCAGCCUACGCCACAGCCACGCCACGCCAGAUCCGAGCCGCGUCUGCAGCCGACACCACAGCUCACGGCAACACCGGAUCCUUAGCCCAUGGAGCGAGGCCAGGCAUUGAACCCGAGUCCUCUUGGAUGCUAGUCGGGUUCAUUAAUUGCUGAGCCAUGACAGGAACGCUCAUUUUUCUUUUAACAUGAAAAGAACAUGUGGGGUUCCCCCACCCCACCCCAGGAAAUCCAUGAGGCUAGUCCACCAGGCAGGUUUAAAGAUCCUUUAUUACGGAAUCAGUAUGUACAAACUCUAACAUGAAAAUAAUGAGUCACGGAAUAUCAGGCUAUUUACAAUAUGUUUUUGUUUUUUACAAAUUUUUUUUACAAGAUUACGUCUCUCUAAAUAACAUGACAGACACACAUUUUUUAUUACAUACAUAAAUAAAUAUUGGCUUGAAAUGACUGUUCUAAGGGACAGGAUUUCUAGGGGCCAUCUGCUGAGAAGGCUGCCGUCUUGUUCCUGUACCCUACCCUAUAACUCAGGAAAAAUAACAAUAGCUUUACAUACAGCCUCCGUGAAUCCCUCUGUGACUGUGUAACUUGCUAAAAUAUUCAGUAGAGCUAAGAAGCUGAGUCUGGCCAUGCAAAACCACAGGUAAGCGUCACCAUCUUUAGGUAUCGAUUGAUAUUUUACAUGAAUUUUAAAGUACAUGCAACAGCUAUUUAGCCUCUGUGUUCUGGUGAAGGUGUGAAAAGUCUGUAUAACAAGACUUAGAGACAUGUGCAAUCAUGGGAAUUAGUACGUUUGGGGGCCCCCGCAGCACACGGCGCAGCAAACGACAUUAAGCAGAUAAGCCGUGAUCACAAAUGACGGAUUGUCGCACAGAAUGACUCUUUGUACUCACAUUAACACCGACGCAAGUCUAAAUUCAGCCUUUUUAAUCAGAUUUUCCAGUGGAGGUGAAAGACAGUUGCCUUACCCAGCUGGCCCCCUACCCCUGCAAUUGACCGCGCUCCUCGCGCAGGGCAACGGCUCAUCCAUUCGCGGUAGACUCUUCUGCGAUGCAGUGGCUCUCACCUGGGCUGCCCACCAGAGAGGGUGGUGGGCCGUGGCUGGGGAACGCGUGGUUCUCACAGCCUGGGGAGGGGCUCCUGGCCUGCCCCACCCUCCUCAGUGCACAGGACGCCCCCCCGGAGAGAAGCCGCACCCCCAAGUCUCAGCAGUGCGGAGGCGGAGGGAUCCGGCUCAGUGGGCUGCUUCCAGGUUCUUGCAGUUUCUAUCACGCAGGUGCACUUUUAAACUUGGGGUUGUGUUCCCUAUGCAUUUCAGAAAACUACGUCAUAAACCGCAUGUCUUAACUAUGUCGUAUUACAGCUGAAUGACGUGAGGGACAUACGCGCGUUCCUGCACAGCUGCUCUGCGGAGUCUCCUGAGAUCACGAGGGCAGCUCCGAUAAACCGUCUUAGAGGGAGAAUGCUCGUUAAGAAUGCAUAGAGCCGAAGUUCCCGUCCUGGCGCAGUGGUUAACGAAUCCGACUAGGAAUCAUGAGGUUACGGGUUCGAUCCCUGCCCUUGCUCAAGGGGUUGAGGAUCCGGCGUUGCCGUGAGUGUAGUGUAGGUCGCAGACGCGGCUCAGAUCCCACGUUGCUGUGGCUCUGGUGAAGGCCAUUGGCUACAGCUCCGAUUGGACCCCUAGCCUGGGAACCUCCAUAUGCCGCAGGAGUGGCCCUAGAAAAGGCAAAAAGACCAAAAAAAAAAAAAAANNNNAAAAAAAAA